rnacentral:rRNA from 1 species
UACGAAGGGGGCUAGCGUUGCUCGGAAUCACUGGGCGUAAAGGGCGCGUAGGCGGCCAUUUAAGUCGGGGGUGAAAGCCUGUGGCUCAACCACAGAAUUGCCUUCGAUACUGGAUGGCUUGAGUUCGGUAGAGGUUGGUGGAACUGCGAGUGUAGAGGUGAAAUUCGUAGAUAUUCGCAAGAACACCAGUGGCGAAGGCGGCUCACUGGCCCGGUACUGACGCUGAGGUGCGAAAGCGUGGGGAGCAAACAGG